rnacentral:rRNA from 1 species
UACGUAGGGUGCAAGCGUUAAUCGGAAUUACUGGGCGUAAAGCGUGCGCAGGCGGUUGUGCAAGACAGAUGUGAAAUCCCCGGGCUUAACCUGGGAAUUGCAUUUGUGACUGCACGGCUAGAGUGUGUCAGAGGGGGUAGAAUUCCACGUGUGAGCAGUGAAAUGCGUAGAUAUGUGGAGGAAUACCGAUGGCGAAGGCAGCCCCCUGGGAUAACACUGACGCUCAUGCACGAAAGCGUGGGGAGCAAACAGG